AGCUCAUCCAGAGGGGCAGAGGGACACGGCCCGAUGAAGCCCCGGCAACCCUCCAGUCGGUACUCGUCUUCGUAGCGAGGCUCCCGGCUAGGGAAGGUGCCAAAUCCGUCUCACGGCGAGGUGCGUCGUGAGGAAGAUGAGGA
rnacentral:ncRNA from 1 species